GGAGGAAAAGAAACCAACAGGGAUUGCCUUAGUAACGGCGAGUGAAGCGGCAACAGCUCAAAUUUGAAAGCUGGCCCUUUUAGGGUCCGCGUUGUAAUUUGUAGAGGAUGAUUCGGCGAGGGCUCCCGCCUAAGUCCCCUGGAACGGGGCGUCAUAGAGGGUGAGAAUCCCGUAUGCGGUGGGUUGCCUUAGCCAUGUGAAUCUCCUUCGACGAGUCGAGUUGUUUGGGAAUGCAGCUCUAAAUUGGAGGUAAAUUUCUUCUAAAGCUAAAUACUGGCCAGAGACCGAUAGCGCACAAGUAGAGUGAUCGAAAGAUGAAAAGCACUUUGGAAAGAGAGUUAAAAAGCACGUGAAAUUGUUGAAAGGGAAGCGCUUGCAACCAGACUUGUCCGCAGUUGCUCAACCGGUCUCCUGACCGGUGUACUCUUCUGCGGCCAGGCCAGCAUCAGUUCGGGCGGUCGGAUAAAGACCUUGGGAAUGUAGCUCCUCUCGGGGAGUGUUAUAGCCCAAGGUGGAAUGCGGCCAGCCUGGACUGAGGAACUCGCUUCGGCAAGGAUGCUGGCGU
rnacentral:rRNA from 1 species